UGCCAAUAACGAGCUUUAGGGAAAGGGCGGGACAAAACUGUUUUGCGGGAGGGAGGGGAAGGCCCAGGGAACCAAGCAGCGCUGCCGCCAGCGCCGCUGCAGCCGGAGUUGGAGGAGGGUGAAGCCAGGAAGAAAAUGGCGGCCGUAGCUGCAGAGGCGGCAGCGACUGCAGCGUCCCCCGGGGAGGGGGGCGCCGGCGAGGCCGAGCCGGAGAUGGAGCCCAUCCCCGGCAGCGAGGCCGGCACUGACCCGCUCCCGGUCACCGCCACUGAAGCAUCUGUGCCGGAAGGCGAGGCCGACGGGCAGCAGUCCUCUCCUCAGGCCGACGAGCCGCCGCUCCCGCCUCCACCGCCGCCGCCGGGGGAGCUCGCUCGCAACCCAGAGGCGGCGGGGCCGGAGCUGGAGGCUGAGGAGAAGCUGCCCGCCCGGGUGGUGGAGCUGGCGGCAGCCGCACCUCAGGAAGGGCCCGAUCUCCCACCUUCCCCUGCACCGCCGCCGGAGCAGCCCCCGGCUCCCGAGGAGCGCCAGGAGCCGCCGCUGCCCCAGCCCGCAGCCCCGGCGCUCGUGCCGCCGGCGGGCGGGGACUCUGCGGUGUCGCAGCUCAUCCCUGGCUCGGAGGUGCGGGUCACGCUGGACCACAUCAUUGAGGACGCGCUCGUCGUGUCGUUCCGCCUUGGGGAGAAGCUCUUCUCCGGGGUUCUCAUGGAUCUGUCCAAAAGAUAUGAAGUGCAGACUCCCAUUCACAGCUUUCCGUUCUGUUUCCCGCAACAGCACACACUCUGAUGGUAUUUCACCCGUUUGGAAACGGCUUAUUUUAGUAUGUUUUACCUCCUUGCCCUCCCAGCAAGCAAAAGAGACUCAGCAGUGUGUAUGCUAUUGAAUCAAACAGAAGUGAAGGCUGGUGAUUGUGUGAGAAUCUGGAUUUCAAAUCUGCAAAAGGAAGGUGCAAAAAGAGAGACCAUGAAACGUAUGGUGCAAUAGCCCUACUUUUGGUGGGAAAAAUAUACAGCCAUUCUGGUGAAGCAGUGAGUAGUGGUAUCAGUAGCUUAUACUAAGCAUCCAGGUGGAGCAUCUAGGUCCUUCAGUAGUAUGUUUGAAUGAUUGCAUUGAAUUGUACAUGUUUAAAAUACUAAAUAUUUUUCGGUGAUGAUUCUUAUAGCCCACCGCGUUGAUAAAGGGUUCCCACAGUAAAAGAACAUAGAGGAAAGUGCCAGUCACUUUCUGAUCCAGACAGCUGUAGGCCACUCCCUACCAUACCAGUGUAUAUACUGUAUUGAGAGUGUGCUCUUCCAUUGCAUGUUGGACUUAAAUGAUUUUUCUUUGGAAGUGAUGAUGAGUUGGACAUUAAAAAACCUAGUUUGAAACUGAGUAAAGAACCUGUAACAUGAUGGUAUUAAAAAUAAAUUUUAUAACUAAAUUUUAUAAGCUAGAUAACUAGAUAAGUUAUACACCAGGAAUGUUUUAUUGGACUUGGGUUUCUAAUGAGGUUAAUUUUCAGCCUUUUUUGUAUAAAUAAGACCAUAUGUCACUGUGUACUGUUUUAAAGCAAAGCUCUUGAUGCAACCAGGUUUAGUUUCCUGAGAUUGAUUGAUUAUUUAUUUAUUUGGGGUGGGGAGCUGUUAAAGAGGUUGUGUAUUUGCUCAUCUCUGUUAUGGCUGUUAAUUUCACACUGAUUAAAAAAUGAAAGAUGUUCUUAGUGGUUAUUUGUGCCUAUGGAGUGCAUCCUUAUUUCUUGGUAUUUAUUGGCCCUGUUCUACCUCAAUUCCCAAAUUAGCUCAGGCACACAUUAACGGAAGAGUAGAGCUUGCUAGUCUAGUUGCAGAUCUUUCAAGAAAGUAAGUGGUGGUUAAGUUACACAUGGGGUGGAUUUAAUAUAGAGUGUUUUUGUGAAACACUUUGGGCAGUGGUCCUCAACAAAUUUGCUUAAGAUUUCUGAGCUCCUUCCACCACUUCGUGUUUUUAACAAGGUGAUGCUGAUGGAAAUCAUUCUCAGAUCAUAUUUGGAGAUAAUUGAUUUUUAGGAGAUGAGGGGUAGUUUUGCCAAAAUAGAAUGAUACAUUUGUUAAGCCGGUUUUAAAAGUUACUGGUUAAUUUCAAAUGGAUGUAAUUACAAAGUAAGCAUCACAUGUGGGGAUGGGCCACUUGGAUGGCAGAUGUAAAUCCUUGUUAUAGAACUGAUAAUUAAACUUGCAAAUAGUUUCUUAAAUCUGGUUGCCCACUAGAUGUUUAGAUCAUAAUUUUCCUCUCUCUUCCUUUGGACCAAUUUUAGUCACUUUGCUACAGAAAGUGGUUUUUAGCUUUUUAAAACUCACACCUCCUAUAACACUUGAUUUCACUUUUCUGCAUAUUCCCAACAUCUAAGAUAGUUGCCAAACUGUACUUUCUGUGAUUAAUAAUAGCUACUAUGUAUUUCCCAGGCUUAUGCAAACUGUGGUAAGCACUUUGUAUACGCUGUUUCAUUUUACUCUCUGGGAAGUCCAAUGAACUAAAUUUUACUAAUCCCUGUUUUACAGAUAAAAGAUACUGAGGCUCACUCAGAGAGAUUAAUUAAAUUGCCUAAAAUUAUAAGUGGCAGUUGUUAAUAGGUAUAUUAAAAAUGCCUUUUUGAAAGAUUCUCUAAUAUUUGGAAACAACCCUGUUCUAAUACACUUAACUGUUUUUCAUCAUUACCAUUUAGCUUAUGAUUUUGGUGAGGAGUUACCCUGGUAGUAGGUAGAAAUGAUGGAGCUCUCUGUUCCUCACUUAGCCAGGCAAUAGCUGCUGCUUUUAAAAUAUGAAUUGCUCUCCAGUUCAAUGUAGUGAACUCGGGGCAUUUUGAAAAUGGGAUUUCUUCUCUUUUUCAUAUAUGGUCCUGGGUCUUAAAUUAGGUAUCAUUUGUUUUGCUUUGGCUGGCCUGGCCCUGGCAACAGUGAUUCCACUUGUUAAUGAGAGGAUUUCCUUGAGCACAAGUUCAGCAUUUAUUAAGUGCUGGAUGAUUGAACUGAAAAAGGAUUUAAAGAGUAGAACACAGUAAAUUGGACAGCCUGUUUAUGGUAAAACAGGGGUAGUGAAAUAAAUUGAAUACAUUGCUUUUUUUCAGUAGUUAAUUUAUUUUUGUUCCCCCAUUGCCUUUUUUAAAAAGUCCAUCUGUUGAGAAAUAUUUAAGAUUUCUGAUGGACUCUACUGGACAUAAUACAAAAGAAAUAUUAAGACUACAUAGAAAUCAUAAUGGAAACAUAGGAUACUUAAAACUGCUUCUUGGUAUCUUAGAGCCAGGACUAAGGGAAUUCUGUUCAAGUGUUUGAAAACUGUGAUAAGUAUUUUCAUUAAUAAUUAAAAAGAUCCUUUUAUAGUAGUGUUCAUUUUCUUGGAGAAAUGUCAUGUAUGUUGCCCUAAGUGAUGUAUCAAAGUGAAGUCAAGAUGUGCCUGUUCUUAAAAAUAUUUUGCCACUUUGUGGCUAUUACCAUUUAUUAUUUUUUUUGGAUGGUUAUUUUAAAAGAACAAUUUGCUAUUAGGGAGUUAAGUAAUUUGAAUACAGAUGUUAUUACUAUUUUUCUUUUAAAAAGACUGAAGCAUAAGUGUUUUCUGUAGUUUUUACUGAUAUUUUGAAACCUAGUUAUUCAGGUAAGUUUUAAAGAGUUGUUUGAAGGUACAUGAUUGGGAGCUUGAAAUCAAAUAUUAGUGUUUAACCUCUUUUUUUCUUACCUCUAAAAGCUAUCUGAUUUUCUAAGAGGAUUAAAUAGACUUUUUAAAAGAUUGAGUAAAUUCUGUGGUUAGAGAGAUAUUCUUUUAAGACUUAUGUAGCCCCCUUCCCCAUCCUUUUAAUUUAAAAUGAUAUAUCCUGGUAUCCUUGUUCAUAAUUGGUGUUUUAUUUUUAUGGUGCUAAGAUCAUCCUCCCAUCUCACCUAUUUGGGUACCCAUAGUCCCCGCAGAUUGCCCUUGUAACACUUGGAGCUUUUAAUUAAAAACAUCAUUCACUUACAGUUAAUAAAAUCUAACAUUUUAAUUUUAACAUAGUUACCAUGUAUUGCGCCUACUUAUUGUGUACUAGGCCCAAUGGUAAGCAAUUAUGUAUAUUCUUAUUUAAUCUUGAUGACAAUUCUAUUAAUAUCAAGUAACUUAACUGCAAUUUCAAAAUCCAGAAUCUCUGAAAACUGAACUUUUUGUUACUUUUAUGUUGGCAAAAACAAUCAUGACCUGAAAUUGUGUGAGGCUAUUACAUCCAUUUAUCCUACUUAGUGUUUUCUCAUUUUACUUCUGAAAUAUUAAUAUGCUUGAUAAUAAGGUGCUUAUUAUCUUUUGCAAACCAGAAAAUUGAUGAAUUCUGAAGCCUGUCUGUGUCCUUGGGAUCCAGAAAAGAGCAUGGACCUGUUAACUGCUCCCCUCCCUUAGUGAGGAAGCCGGGUCGGGGAGUGGGGUUAAGUAACUUGAGAUGAGGGAGGCAGUAGUUAAGAACAUGACUUUGGGCUGACUGCUUGGAUUCAUAUCCUGGCUCUGCUGCUCACUAGCUGUGUAAUCUUGGGAAGAUCACUUACCCUCUCUGUUCUUUAGUUGUUCUCAACUAUAAAAUGGCAAUAGUAUAUAGCACUUUAAUAGGGUUGUUCUUUGUGAUUAUAUAUAAUUAAUGUAAAUGAGUACAUAUUUAGAAUAGUGCAUGCCACACAGUAAGUGCUAUAUAAGUAUUAACUAUUACUUUAUGAAGUAGCUUCUAAGUGGCAGUACUAGGAUGAAUGUGACAACAGCUAGUGUAGUCACUUAAUAUGGGUUUACUUGAAUAGCCAGUCAACCUAAUAAAUCCUGUUGUAUUGUGGUCUACAGUAUAAUCUGCAUCUUUAAAAUACCUUGAAAGAAUCUGUAGAAGCUUCAGGCAAUGCUGGUGGAGUAUGACUUUGCCCUUUUAAUUAAUAAGUAAGGAUGACAUUUAUAUUUUACUAGGGAAUGAGAUAGCUAGGAGUUGUUUACAGAUGGAGGGUGGGAGAUGUUUCUCAGUCUUCCCACUAACCCCCGAGGCAGAUGGCUUUGUAAGGAAAUGAUUGGCUUGGUCAGGAAGAGAAAGUUGUGUCUCAUUAGGGAAUUUAGUCCUUGUGGUCUUUCUGCUUCCUAUAUGCUUUUCAAACCUAAUAGAAAAGGGCUCACUUUUGGGAAUGACACAUUUCAAAGUUAGGGAAAGGGAAAUUUUUUGUGCUCACCUCUACUUAUUAAAUGAUGGGACCAGGCUAGUAUAGCUGAGCUUAAGUUCUUCGCAAAGUGCUUUAGACACUUUGAAUUUCAUCACUAUAUAAUAAUCAAGCCUUCACUGGCUUGUCUUGUUAAGAGGCUAGUAUUCUCUGUCCAGCACACUUACCUAACCCUCAUAACAACAUCCUCCUCUUUCUGCCAGAUGGAUUACUUUUAUUUUACUGCUUGUUUAAACCUCUGAAUCCUUACCUGUCUCCUGUGGAGGGGGAAUCAUGUUGCUGACUGGUGAGUCCUAUGCUGCAUCUGGUUAUCUGUUGGCUUUUAUCACACCUGCUUGGUGUUUUACCUUUU